UUCCCUUAGUAACGGCGAGUGAAGAGGGAAUAGCCCAAGUUUGAAAGCUGGCGCCUUCGGCGUCCGCAUUGUAAACUCGAGAAGCAUUAUCCGCGUCGGACCUGGCUCAAAUCCUUUGGAAUAAGGUACCUUAGAGGGUGAUAGUCCCUUUCAUAGUCAGGACGCCCGAGGCUUUGUGAUGUGCUCUCCAAGAGUCGAGUUGUUUGGGAAUGCAGCUCAAAAUGGGUGGUAAAUGCCAUCUAAGGCUAAAUAUAGAGGAGAGACCGAUAGCGAACAAGUACCGUGAGGGAAAGAUGAAAAGAACUUUGGAAAGAGAGUUAAACAGUACGUGAAAUUGCCGGAAGGGAAGGGUAGGAAGUCAGAUAUGCCUCUGCGGAUUCAGCUUGACCUUUCGAGGUUGGGUGUAUUUCCGUUUGGGCAGGCCAGCAUCGAUUUUGGCUGCCGGAUAUUGGUAGAAGGAAUGUGGCAUCCUCUUCGGAGGGUGUGUUAUAGCCUUCUACUGGGUACGGCGGCUGGGAUCGAGGAACGCAGUGCACCCAUUAGGGCGGGCCUUCGGGCACCUUUGCACAUAGGAUGCUGGCUUAAUGGCUCUCUGCCACCCGUCUUGAAACCG
rnacentral:rRNA from 1 species